rnacentral:rRNA from 1 species
CGUAGGGUGCGAGCGUUAAUCGGAAUUACUGGGCGUAAAGCGUGCGCAGGCGGUUUAGUAAGACAGGCGUGAAAUCCCCGGGCUCAACCUGGGAACUGCGCUUGUGACUGCUAAGCUAGAGUACGGCAGAGGGGGGUGGAAUUCCACGUGUAGCAGUGAAAUGCGUAGAGAUGUGGAGGAACACCAAUGGCGAAGGCAGCCCCCUGGGUCGAUACUGACGCUCAUGCACGAAAGCGUGGGUAGCAAACAGGAUUAGAUACCCUGGUAGUCCACGCCCUAAACGAUGUCAACUAGGUGUUGGGAGGGUAAAACCUUUUGGUACCGGAGCUAACGCGUGAAGUUGACCGCCUGGGGAGUACGGCCGCAAGGUUA